UGGAAGCACACAGUCCCUAGAGCUCCGG
rnacentral:piRNA from 1 species